CCUACGGGAGGCAGCAGUAGGGAAUCUUUCACAAUGGGCGAAAGCCUGAUGGAGCAACGCCGCGUGCAGGAUGAAGGCCUUCGGGUUGUAAACUGCUUUUAUAAGCGAGAAAUGUGAUGGGAAUUAAUGAAUAAGGAUCGGCUAACUACGUGCCAGCAGCCGCGGUCAUACUUAGGACCCGAGCAUUAUCCGGAGUGACUGGGUGUAAAGAGUUGCGUAGGUGGCAUAAUAAGUAGCUAGUGAAAUAUGGUGGCUCAACCAUUCAGACUAUUAGCUAAAUUGUUAAGCUCGAGACCGUUAGGGGUAACUAGAAUUUCUAGUGUAGGAGUGAAAUCCGUAGAGAUUAGAAGGAACACCAAUAGCGUAGGCAGGUUGCUGGGACGGUUCUGACACUAAGGCACGAAAGCGUAGGGAGCAAACGGGAUUAGAUACCCCAGUAGUC
rnacentral:rRNA from 1 species